rnacentral:rRNA from 1 species
AAUCAACGCUGGCGGCGUGCCUCAGACAUGCAAGUCGAACGCGAAAGUUUCCUUCGGGGGAUGAGUAGAGUGGCGCACGGGUGAGUAACACGUAGGUAAUCUACCUUUAGAUGGGGAAUAACAAUCGGAAACGGUUGCUAAUACCGCAUAAUGCAGCGGCACCUAAUGGUGACAGUUGUUAAAGCGGGGGAUCGAAAGACCUCGCGUCUGAAGAGGAGCCUGCGGCGGAUUAGCUAGUUGGUAAGGUAACGGCUUACCAAGGCGACGAUCCGUAGCCGGCCUGAGAGGGCGGUCGGCCACACUGACACUGACAUACGGGUCAGGCU